CUCCCUACAAGGCUUUCACCAGGGCUGGCAUCGCUACAGCAGGUGGUGGAGGCUGCCACAGUCUCAAUGCGCAUUUUAUCACCUGCACACGAAUGACUUCCUUUUCAAGGAAGCCACGCUCAGGCGGUGCACAGUAAUCAUCACCCACUUGCAUUGCUGAAGUCAACGUCAGGUCUUCUGGGGUGCCGUGCUGUUUGGAACGCGGGAAGAAUAAACCAGAAACUAAUGCCUUGAAGUCUCCCCAGCACCUAGUUCUUCCUGAAGGGCCACCCCCGGGUGUGCUGGGCCUUUGGCCCCUGCCAGCCAUCUGGAGAUCCAGGGCCACCCAGCGAGGGCAAAAGUGGGGCAAGGCCUGCUAUCUCAGCCCCAGACCGUGCGGGCUUUGACCCAGCUCUCUCUCUACGUCUUUAGUCUCGUGUUUUCCAAGCAAAGGCUUCACGUGGUCAGUGCUGUGUUGAUUUCCCAUCACUUGACGUCUCUACAGGCGGGUCCUACGUCUCUCUGGCCAUCCCGGAGUCUAGGGUGCUGUGGGGCUAGAACCACAGCCCAGGAUCUAGGCCUCACUCAUCAAAGGGUGGCCCACGGGCCAGCAGCGGGCGCAUCCACCUGCUUAGAACGGCGGGGUCUCGGGCUUCACCCUGACCUCAAAAUCACAAUCUGCAUCUUCACAAACCCCACCCCCAGGGGGUCUGUACAUAUUAAAGAUGCAGGGUGGGGAAGAGCGCUCAAUCCCAGACAUCAGCUACCGAGACAAACCAAGGGAAAUCAUCCAGGGCAGCACAUCGGGCAAUGAAGGGAAAAGGCUGGACGGAGAAGAUGCACCUUUGAGGAGAAGGAGGCGGCCGCGAGGAGCAGCCUGCGGCACCCCGAGAGCCAGCGGAGGGCAGGGGCAGCUGGCUGAGGACGUCCAACCAGAGCAGCACGGAAGGCAAGCUGCAGGACGCUGGUGCCCAGAGAAGGGGUGGGCCGUGCCGCAGGGCGUGGGAAGCUGGGUGCUCCCGCCCCGUACCCAACUCUGCCUCAGCAAAGUCAACCCUGCAGACACCCUAGCAAGGGGUCGUGGCUGCAACAAGGUCAGAAGCCAGACCGACCACCGGGGGAGAGACGGCAGGCUGCGGAGUGGCUAAGCCUUGGUCAUCCUGGAAGUAGGUCUUUGGGGGUUUGGGAGAAGGUGGGACGAGGCACGGGGUCUUCUCAAAGCCGAAAGCUUCAACACGCGGCCCAGUUCUCCGAGCAGCCCAACCUUCUAAGGCAAGCCUGCGGGAGGCCCUGUGAAGCCGCGCUGCAGACUGAGGGCUGCCUGCCUAGAAAGGCCACGAUAUGUGCCUCGCUCAAGGACACAUGCGUACGUCCAAGGGCAAUCCUGUCAGGGAUAUGGAGGCACGUGCACCGCUUUCUAAGGCUGAUCCUCGAGGGAUGCCGUCGAGUGUCUGCAGAACCGGCACUUCCUGAGCACUGUUAACCUCGUGUAUUUGGCUUCUCUGCCUCAGAGGCUCCCCAUGGAGCUGAGUAAGGUCGACAUCGUGAGACUCAAUAGCGUCUUACACAGGGAACGUGUGGGGCGAUGAGGGCCAGGGUGUUCCAUGUUGUACCAAGGGUUCCCACCGCAGUCAGCAUCACCCUCAGACUUGCCCCCUUGCCAAGGGCUACUGCAAACGACCGGGAUGCUUCCACUACACAAGCACGGCCAUGACGUGCAUUAUACA